UAUGGCCACAUCACAUUGAAACAUCAGUUCCCAUAUGAUCACCAAAGUGAAGCAACAUUGUGCCUGGUCAGUACUUAGAUGGAUAACCACUUGGGAAUACCAGGUGCUGUAAG